rnacentral:rRNA from 1 species
UCUGACGGAGCAACGCCGCGUGAGUGAUGAAGGUUUUCGGAUCGUAAAGCUCUGUUGUUAGGGAAGAACAAGUGCGAGAGUAACUGCUCGCACCUUGACGGUACCUAACCAGAAAGCCACGGCUAACUACGUGCCAGCAGCCGCGGUAAUACGUAGGUGGCAAGCGUUGUCCGGAAUUAUUGGGCGUAAAGGGCUCGCAGGCGGUUUCUUAAGUCUGAUGUGAAAGCCCCCGGCUCAACCGGGGAGGGUCAUUGGAAACUGGGAAACUUGAGUGCAGAAGAGGAGAGUGGAAUUCCACGUGUAGCGGUGAAAUGCGUAGAGAUGUGGAGGAASACCARUGGCGAAGGCGACUCUCUGGUCUG